rnacentral:rRNA from 1 species
CUCAGAAUGAACGCUGGCGGCGNUGCUUUACACAUGCAAGUCGAGCGAGGCGGGUAGCAAUACCCAGUCGAGCGGCGAACGGGUGAGUAACGCGUGGAUUAUCUACCCUGAGGUGGGGGAUAACCCGGCGAAAGCCGGGCUAAUACCGCAUAACAUCGAAAGAUCAAAGGGGGAGCAAUCUCCCGCCAUUGGAGGAGUCCGCGUCCGAUUAGCUAGUUGGUAGGGUAAUGGCCUACCAAGGCGACGAUCGGUAGCCGGCCUGAGAGGGUGAUCGGCCACACUGGAACUGAGACACGGUCCAGACUCCUACGGGAGGCAGCAGUGGGGAAUUUUGCGCAAUGGGCGAAAGCCUGACGCAGCAACGCCGCGUGGAGGAUGACGGUCCUUGGAUCGUAAACUCCUGUCAGCAGGGAAAAAGGGGACCGGGCUCAUACCCCGGUUCAUUGAUUGUACCUGCAGAGGAAGCCCCGGCUAACUCUGUGCCAGCAGCCGCGGUAAUACAGAGGGGGCAAGCGUUAUUCGGAAUUAUUGGGCGUAAAGGGCGCGUAGCGGCUCGACAAGUGGAAGGUGAAAUCCCUCGGCUUAACCGAGGAACUGCCCUCCAAACUGUUUUGCUUGAGGCCGGGAGAGGUGAGUGGAAUUCCCAGUGUAGCGGUGAAAUGCGUAGAUAUUGGGAGGAACACCAGUGGCGAAGGCGGCUCACUGGACCGGUUCUG